rnacentral:rRNA from 1 species
UACAGAGGUCUCAAGCGUUGUUCGGAUUCAUUGGGCGUAAAGGGCUCGUAGGCGGCCAACUAAGUCAGACGUGAAAUCCCUCAGCUUAACUGGGGAACUGCGUGUGAUACUGGAUGGCUUGGAUUUGGGAGAGGGAUGCGGAAUUCCAGGUGUAGCGGUGAAAUGCGUAGAUAUCUGGAGGAACACCGGUGGCGAAGGCGGCAUCCUGGACCAAUAUUGACGCUGAGGAGCGAAAGCCAGGGGAGCAAACGGG